GGUCAGUUGGCCGAGUGGUUAAGGCGGUGGACUUGAAAUCCACUGGGUUCUCCCGCGCAGGUUCGAAUCCUGUACUGACCG
rnacentral:tRNA from 1 species